rnacentral:rRNA from 1 species
AUUGAACGCUGGCGGCAGGCUUAACACAUGCAAGUCGAGCGGGGUGAUGGUGCUUGCACUAUCACUUAGCGGCGGACGGGUGAGUAAUGCUUAGGAAUCUGCCUAUUAGUGGGGGACAACAUCUCGAAAGGGAUGCUAAUACCGCAUACGUCCUACGGGAGAAAGCAGGGGAUCACUUGUGACCUUGCGCUAAUAGAUGAGCCUAAGUCGGAUUAGCUAGUUGGUGGGGUAAAGGCCUACCAAGGCGACGAUCUGUAGCGGGUCUGAGAGGAUGAUCCGCCACACUGGGACAGAGACACGGGCCAGACUCCUACGGGAGGCAGCAGUGGGGAAGAUGGGACAAUGGGGGGAACCCUGAUCCAGCCAUGCCGCGUGUGUGAAGAAGGCCUUAUGGUUGUAAAGCACUUUAAGCGAGGAGGAGGCUCUUUUGGUUAAUACCCAAGAUGAGUGGACGUUACUCGCAGAAUAAGCACCGGCUAACUCUGUGCCAGCCGCCGCGGUAA